CAGAUUGAACGCUGGCGGCAUGCCUUACACAUGCAAGUCGAACGGCAGCAUGACGUGUAGCAAUACACGUUGAUGGCGAGUGGCGAACGGGUGAGUAAUAUAUCGGAACGUGCCCUGUAGCGGGGGAUAACCUAUCGAAAGAUGGACUAAUACCGCAUACGCUCUACGGAGGAAAGCGGGGGUCGCAAGACCUCGCACUAUAGGAGCGGCCGAUAUCGGAUUAGCUAGUUGGGGGGGUAAAAGCCCACCAAGGCGACGAUCCGUAGCUGGUCUGAGAGGAUGAUCAGCCACACUGGAACUGAGACACGGUCCAGACUCCUACGGGAGGCAGCAGUGGGGAAUUUUGGACAAUGGGCGCAAGCCUGAUCCAGCCAUGCCGCGUGAGUGAAGAAGGCCUUCGGGUUGUAAAGCUCUUUCGGCAGGAACGAAAUGGUACGUGCUAAUACCACGGACUGAUGACGGUACCUGAAGAAGAAGCACCGGCUAACUACGUGCCAGCAGCCGCGGUAAUACGUAGGGUGCAGGCGUUAAUCGGAAUUACUGGGCGUAAAGCGUGCGCAGGCGGUUUCUUAAGUCAGAUGUGAAAGCCCCGGGCUUAACCUGGGAACUGCGUUUGAAACUGGGAGACUUGAGUGUGGCAGAGGGGGGUGGAAUUCCACGUGUAGCAGUGAAAUGCGUAGAUAUGUGGAGGAACACCGAUGGCGAAGNAGCCCCCUGGGCUAACACUGACGCUCAUGCACGAAAGCGUGGGGAGCAAACAGNAUUAGAUACCCUGGNAGUCCACGCCCUNNCUAUGUCAACUGGUUGUCGGGGGAUUAACUCCCUUAGUAACGAAGCUAACGCGUGAAGUUGAC
rnacentral:rRNA from 1 species